rnacentral:misc_RNA from 1 species
GAUGAAGAACGUAGUGAAAUGCGAUAAGUAAUGUGAAUUGCAGAAUUCAGUGAAUCAUCGAAUCUUUGAACGCACAUUGCGCCCGCCAGUAUUCUGGCGGGCAUGCCUGUUCGAGCGUCAUUUCAACCCUCAGGGCCCUUUUGGACCUGGCGUUGGGGCUCGGCCGCUACCCUGCGGCCGUCCCCGAAAGAUAGUGGCGGUCUCGCUGUAGCCUCCUCUGCGUAGUAGUUACAUCUCGCACUGGAACGCGGCGCGGCCAUGCCGUUAAACACCCCACUUCUCAAGGUUGACCUCGGAUCAGGUAGGAAUACCCGCUGAACUUAAGCAUAUCAAUAAGCGGAGG